rnacentral:lncRNA from 7 species
UUCGGUGGUUUUUAUGCUUUCUUCAUCCACCAGGAAAAAACCGCCCAGCUGGAACCCCCAAAACCCUCGGGUGCCCGUCCUGCUAGCCGGUGUGCUUGCUGUGCGAUCGUUUGGCAUGUGCUUGUUGAGGGGUUGCUAGGGGAUUGGAGAGGAUUGAAGGGAUUAAAUCUCCUCCUAUUCAAUUUUGAAUAGGAGGGGAUUUAAUCCCCUUCAAUCCCCCUCAAACCACUAGUAACCGAACGUGGCCUGAGGGGGCGGGCGAGUCUUUAUAUUGAAUGAAACUACAUAAAAUAGCAUGCCGUCUCUGUCACUGGCAAUGGACGGUGGUGCCUAGCGCAACUCAGCGCACAACUGUGUGUCUUGAUUUUUCUUCUGUUUAUCACGGCAUUAGUGCCAUGCCGUUUUAUGUUACAGUGUUGUGUGCUCGCAAGCAUCCGAAAAUAUGCGUCUGAGUUUAGGGUUGGGUCAAACUUGUCGAAUUUGGGGUUCUGUUAUAAUAUGUUGAGCAUGAAUAAAGAUGGAUGCUGGUGACUCUGUCGCCAUCGCCGUCCAUCAUGAGUGUCCUGUAAUUCAACUUAUAUCUAUCAUGUAUGUAUGUAUGUAUGUAUGUAU